GUGUGAUCCACGUCUACGAUGGAGCGCGACAACAUUCAAGACGCAGAAGUCGAAAAAGGUCCUCUGAGGAUCCUGCUUCUUGGCAGAAGCGGCGUGGGGAAAAGCGCCAGUGGAAACACCAUUCUCGGGAGAAUGGUGCAGAGUUGUAAAGAGUUUUGUGCCGUAUAUUCUGAAACAAAGCACCGUAUUUCUGUGUCUUUUACUUUGAAGCCAGCGUCUUGUAUCUAUUACUGCAAUGUCCGCGCAAUGUUGAAUUGUGGAUUUGCGUUUUGGCGCGGGCUUGACCGCGGUAAAACACCGCGGCAGAUCGACGCGCGUGUUUCCUACUGUCAAGGAACACAUCACGAUGGGGGCGUGUGAUGCUGAACAGUUGCUGGCAGCGCAAAAUACGAGGGAGGAUCUGGUAGAGAAACCAGGCGGACUUUACUUUCGAUUCUCAGUGGAUCGCCAAACACGACUACAGUGACAGCUAUGGUUCUUCUGGCGCUAUGUGAGCCCAGGUCAUGAGACAACAAACUCAAUGGCGAGUAAAAGAAAAUGUGACGGCGAAAACGGUGAUGGAGAGGAGCACGAAUGGACUUGUAUUCCGGUUUCUAUCAAGAGUCUCGUUUAUAUCGGAGGCGAGAAGGACGUCAGUAGAAGCGAAGUGAAAGAGGAGCUGUUGUGCCCAGGCAGUUGGUGUGAACCUCUGAAUGUUGAGAAGGACGAAGAUGAAGAGAGCUCAUCAGACGACGUCAUCUUUGUGUGUGAAACAGGCCCGAGGAUUGAUUUGACAAAGGAGACAUGCUGAGAAGCGUUGGUGCAUCUGACUGAUGAACUCCUCCCGCAGCAGAGACUUCUCCUCAGAGUUUGGCUCCCAAGUCUUCUGCUCAGUCUCUUCUUGAGUGGUGGCACGAAUACACAGACACUCACACUUAAUAUUUGUAAUCCUUUAAAACGUGACAAACAUCGGACAAAAUAUAUGAAAUGUUUUGUCGGAAUGUCCCAAUACCACUGAGUACGAGAACUGACAUUUGAGUACUUGCUGAUACCGAGUACAGAUGCGAGUGACUAAUAAUACCAAAGAUUGAGCUCCAUAAAUGAUAGAAGCAGACGCACGCCACGCAUGGCGAAGCACCUACCUACCAACCAUACAUAGUUGACAGCCCUGGAAAAACCUGUGAUUCACUGAAUCUGCAGAAUGUAGCUCGGGAACCCUGCAGUUGGUAUCACAACCGCGAAAUAGGCCAGUAUCGAGUACUGAUAGUAGUAUCGGGACAUCCCCAGAACAACCCCCAGAACAGAAAAAAAAAAUUAUAUUUUUUACUGAAAAUAUAUAUAUCAAAAUAUGUGGAAAAUUUUGGCACUAAAUGUGGCCGGCUAUUUAGAAAUCAAAUAAAGGGAUGGAUCUAAAUCGUUUUAAUCGUUUCCUGCUAUAUUAUUUGUGCAGAGUCAUCUUGUUUCUGGCAUUCAUUUGUUUAUAGAAGUGAGAGGGCAAAAGAAAGGUACUCCUCCUCUCCCUUUCGCUCAUUGUACAUGCACAUUUUAACCAGUCACAUGCUAUUUUGUGGAAAAAAAGAGAGAAGUAAGACAGUAACAAGAGUCCAACAGUGGACAAUUGGACUCUUGUUACUGCAGAGUCAUUUUGUUUCUGGCAUUCAUUUGUUUGUAGAAGUCAGAGGGCAAAAAAAGGUACUCCUCCUCUCCCUUUCACUCAUUGUAGAAGCACAUUUUAACCAGUCACAUGUUAUUUUGCUGAAAAAAAGAGAGGAGUAAGACAGUAACAAGAGUCCAAUAGUGAUUGCUGCCAACAAGUGUUGACGGUUUGUGGUGGUGGGGACAAAAUGACUCGAAAAAAGGCAGGGGGUGAGGGGUGCAGCCCCCAAGCUCUUGCAUAUGAUCAUUGUUUUACGUCCAUCUUUAAGAUGUUUACAGAUAUCGAGAGUCAAAACAAACAGAUCUACUCACUCAUGACAAACCAAUACCAACCUUCGACGUCAUCUUCCUCCUCCUCUUCCACCUCGUCCUCUCUCUCCUGCUCCUGCUGCAGACGAUCCUGAAUGAGUCGCUCGUCGUAAGAGUUAAGAAGCAGGCUGGCGAGCCCCCCGGUGCAGCCACCAUCCAGCAUGGCCUCUUGGGAGCGUUCUAGCACCUGCAAAUCCACCAACAACAUGACUGAAUAACGUGAGAAAGACAAAUGAAUCUCAGUCUAAAAUCCGAGUCCGGCUCACCUCCUCAUCGGUCAGGUACUGACCAAUGUAAUGUUCAUACAACAGCGGCUCCCUCUUCCUCAUCUGCUCCUCACUGAAGUAAUGACCCUCUGCAGGACAGGACAGGACAACACACAUUGAAUCUCCCUCCUGCUCAAACUGAAUAUCAACCUGUACUCAACAAGAAUUAUAUAAAUGUUAGAUGGAGUCUAUUUAAAUCAUGAAUCAAAACUGAAA